UACGAGGGGGGCAAGCGUUGUUCGGAAUUAUUGGGCGUAAAGGGUGCGUAGGCGGUUUGGUAAGUCUGAUGUGAAAUCUAUGGGCUCAACUCAUAGUCUGCAUCGGAAACUGCCGGGCUUUGAGUGUGGGAGAGGUGAGUGGAAUUCCUGGUGUAGCGGUGGAAUGCGCAGAUAUCAGGAGGAACACCGAUAGCGAAGGCAGCUCGCUGGGACGGUACUGACGCUGAGGCGCGAAAGCGUGGGGAGCGAACAGG
rnacentral:rRNA from 1 species